rnacentral:rRNA from 1 species
GACGAACGCUGGCGGCGUGCCUAAUACAUGCAAGUCGAGCGGAGUCAACGGGUUCUUCGGAAUCCGUUAGCUUAGCGGCGGACGGGUGAGUAACACGUAGGCAACCUGCCCGUAAGACUGGGAUAACUACCGGAAACGGUAGCUAAUACCGGAUAAUUUACUUUGCUGCAUGGCGGAGUAAUGAAAGGCGGAGCAAUCUGUCACUUACGGAUGGGCCUGCGGCGCAUUAGCUAGUUGGUGAGGUAAUGGCUCACCAAGGCGACGAUGCGUAGCCGACCUGAGAGGGUGAACGGCCACACUGGGACUGAGACACGGCCCAGACUCCUACGGGAGGCAGCAGUAGGGAAUCUUCCGCAAUGGACGCAAGUCUGACGGAGCAACGCCGCGUGAGUGAAGAAGGUUUUCGGAUCGUAAAGCUCUGUUGCCAGGGAAGAACGUCUUUGGGAGUAACUGCCCAAGGAGUGACGGUACCUGAGAAGAAAGCCCCGGCUAACUACGUGCCAGCCGCCGCAGUAAAAC